AACGAACGCUGGCGGCAUGGCUAAGACAUGCAAGUCGUACGAUGCGUUAUAGCAAUAUGGCGCAUAGUGGCGAACGGGUGAGUACAAAAUAGGUAACGUACCUCGAUCUCAGGGAUACCGCCGGGAGCUUCGGCUUCCUUUGCGAAAGUGGUGUUAAUACCUGAUGAUACCGCUGAAUGGCAUCAUUCGGCGAUCAAAGGUGGGGACCUUCGGCCUACCGGAUUGAGAGCGGCCUAUUUCCUAUCAGCUAGUUGGUAGGGUGAUGGCCUACCAAGGCGACGACGGGUAGCGGGACUGAGAGGUUGGCCGCCACAUCGGAACUGAGACACUGUCCGGACACCUACGGGUGGCUGCAGUAACGAAUAUUCCGCAAUGGGCGCAAGCCUGACGGAGCGAUGCCGCGUGGAGGACGAAUU
rnacentral:rRNA from 1 species